rnacentral:rRNA from 1 species
UGAAUACGAGACGCUAAGGCGUCGAAGUAGUGUAUGUCAUACUUCCAAGAAAAGCUUGCACUGUCAUAAAUAGAAAAUGCCUGUACCAUAACCGACACAGGUGGGUAGGUAGAGUAUACUAAGGGGCGCGAGAUAACUCUCUCUAAGGAACUCGGCAAAAUAACUCCGUAACUUCGGGAGAAGGAGUGCCUUAUUCUUAAGGUUGCAAUAACAAGAUCCAAGCAACUGUUUAUCAAAAACACAGGUCUCCGCUAAGUCGCAAGACGAUGUAUGGGGGCUGACGCCUGCCCAGUGCCAGAAGGUUAAAGAAGUUGGUUAGCCUUUGCGAAGCUGAUAACUGAAGCCCUGGUGAACGGCGGCCGUAACGAUAACGGUCCUAAGGUAGCGAAAUUCCUUGUCGGGUAAGUUCCGACCCGCACGAAAGGCGUAAUGAUUUGGAUACUGUCUCGGAGAGGGGCUCGGUGAAAUAGACUUGUCUGUGAAGAUGCGGACUACCUGCACCAGGACAGAAAGACCCUAUGAAGCUUUACUGUAACUUGAAAUUGAAAUUGGACUUUAUUCGCGCAGUAUAGGUGGGAGGCGUUGAUUGUAAUCUUGCGGGAUUAUUGGAGCCAUCAGUGAGAUACCACUCUUGUAAUGUUAGAUUUCUAACUUUGUAUCAUUAUCUGGUCAAAGAACAAUUUCAGGCGGGCAGUUUGACUGGGGCGGUCGCCUCCUAAACGGUAACGGAGGCGUACAAAGGUUUCCUCUGAACGGUUAGAAAUCGUAUCUAGAGUGUAAAGGCAUAAGGAAGCUUGACUGUGAGACCUACAAGUCGAGCAGGGACGAAAGUCGGUCUUAGUGAUCUGACGGUACUGAGUGGAAAGGCCGUCACUCAACGGAUAAAAGUUACUCUAGGAUAACAGGCUGAUCUCCCCCAAGAGUUCACAUCGACGGGGAGGUUUGGCACCUCGAUGUCGGCUCAUCGCAUCCUGGGGCGGUAGUACGUCCCAAGGGUUGGGCUGUUCGCCCAUGAAAGCGGUACGCGAGCUGGGUUCAGAACGUCGUGAGACAGUUCGGUCCAUAUCCGGUGUAGGCGUUAGAAUAUUGAGAGGAGCCUUCUUUAGUACGAGAGGACCGAGAAGGACAUACCUCUGGUGUACCAGUUAUCGUGCCAACGGUAAACGCUGGGUAGCUAUGUAUGGAGUGGAUAACCGCUGAAAGCAUCUAAGUGGGAAGCCCACCUCAAGAUAAGUAUUCUCA